rnacentral:rRNA from 1 species
UACGUAGGGGGCAAGCGUUGUCCGGAUUUAUUGGGCGGAAAGAGCGUGUAGGCGGCUAGACAGGUCCGUUGUGAAAACUCGAGGCUCAACCUCGAGACGCCGAUGGAAACCGUCUGGCUAGAGUCCGGAAGAGGAGAGUGGAAUUCCUGGUGUAGCGGUGAAAUGCGCAGAUAUCAGGAAGAACACCCGUGGCUAAGGCGGCUCUCUAGUACGGUACUGACGCUGAGACGCGAAAGCGUGGGGAGCGAACAGG